GACGAACGCUGGCGGCGUGCCUAAUACAUGCCAGUCGAACGCAGUGGGGACGGGUGAGUAACACGUGGGUAACCUCCCAUCAGAGGGGAUAAAACUUGGAAACAAGUGCUAAACCGAUACUGAUGGAUGGACCCGCGGUGCAUUAUCUAGUCGGUGUGGUAACGGCUCACCUAGGCGACGGUCCCGCGCUGGUCGGAGAGGAUGACCAGCCACACUGGAACUGAGACACGGUCCAGACUCCUACGGGAGGCAGCAGUGGGGAAUAUUGCACAAUGGGCGCAAGCCGGAUGCAGCAAUGCCGCGUGUGUGAAGAAGUCCUUCGGGUUGUAAAGCACUUUCAGCGGGGAGGCGUUACCCGCAGAAGAAGCACCGGCUAACUCCGUGCCAGCAGCCGCGGUAAUAC
rnacentral:rRNA from 1 species